rnacentral:rRNA from 1 species
AGUCAGCGGUGCUUACCAUGCAGUCGAACGAUGAUGCCCACUUGUGGGUGGAUUAGUGGCGAACGGGUGAGUAACACGUGAGUAACCUGCCCUUAACUCUGGGAUAAGCCUGGGAAACUGGGUCUAAUACCGGAUAUGACUCCUCAUCGCAUGGUGGGGGGUGGAAAGCUUUUUGUGGUUUUGGAUGGACUCGCGGCCUAUCAGCUUGUUGGUGAGGUAAUGGCUCACCAAGGCGACGACGGGUAGCCGGCCUGAGAGGGUGACCGGCCACACUGGGACUGAGACACGGCCCAGACUCCUACGGGAGGCAGCAGUGGGGAAUAUUGCACAAUGGGCGAAAGCCUGAUGCAGCGACGCCGCGUGAGGGAUGACGGCCUUCGGGUUGUAAACCUCUUUCAGUAGGGAAGAAGCGAAAGUGACGGUACCUGCAGAAGAAGCGCCGGCUAACUACGUGCCAGCAGCCGCGGUAAUACGUAGGGCGCAAGCGUUAUCCGGAAUUAUUGGGCGUAAAGAGCUCGUAGGCGGUUUGUCGCGUCUGCUGUGAAAGACCGGGGCUCAACUCCGGUUCUGCAGUGGGUACGGGCAGACUAGAGUGAUGUAGGGGAGACUGGAAUUCCUGGUGUAGCGGUGAAAUGCGCAGAUAUCAGGAGGAACACCGAUGGCGAAGGCAGGUCUCUGGGCAUUAACUGACGCUGAGGAGCGAAAGCAUGGGGAGCGAACAGGAUUAGAUACCCUGGUAGUCCAUGCCGUAAACGUUGGGCACUAGGUGUGGGGGACAUUCCACGUUUUCCGCGCCGUAGCUAACGCAUUAAGUGCCCCGCCUGGGGAGUACGGCCGCAAGGCUAAAACUCAAAGGAAUUGACGGGGGCCCGCACAAGCGGCGGAGCAUGCGGAUUAAUUCGAUGCAACGCGAAGAACCUUACCAAGGCUUGACAUGGACCGGACCGCCGCAGAAAUGUGGUUUCCCCUUUGGGGCUGGUUCACAGGUGGUGCAUGGUUGUCGUCAGCUCGUGUCGUGAGAUGUUGGGUUAAGUCCCGCACGAGCGCACCCUCGUUCUAUGUUGCCAGCACGUGAUGGUGGGGACUCAUAGAGACUGCCGGGGUCACCUCGAGAAGUGGGACGACGUCAAUCAUCAUGCCCUUAUGUUUGGGCUUCACGCAUGCUACAAUUGCCGUACAAGGGUGCCAUCCUGUGAGUGACCUACUCCAAGCCUGCUUCAGACUUCGAAUAUGGGUCUGUUGCUCA